rnacentral:rRNA from 1 species
GGGUAACUUUUACGUCUGGGAUGGGGGUAAAACUCCAUCCCAUGCUGUUCAACCCUUUGUCUUUUGCGUACUGUAUGUUUCCUCGGCGGGUUCGCCCGCCGAUAGGACACUUCAAAACCUUUUGUAAUUGCAAUCAGCGUCAGAAAAACUAUAAUAGUUACAACUUUCAACAACGGAUCUCUUGGUUCUGGCAUCGAUGAAGAACGCAGCGAAAUGCGAAAAGUAGUGUGAAUUGCAGAAUUCAGUGAAUCAUCGAAUCUUUGAACGCACAUUGCGCCCCUUGGUAUUCCAUGGGGCAUGCCUGUUCGAGCGUCAUUUGUACCCUCAAGCUCUGCUUGGUGUUGGGUGUUUGUCCCGCCUUCGCGCGUGGACUCGCCUUAAAGUGAUUGGCAGCCGGAAUAAUUCUGGGGAACGCAGCACAACUGCAGCCUCCAUUUUACGCCGAGCGUCCAGUAAGCCUUUUUUCAACGUUUGACCUCGGAUCAGGUAGGGAUACCCGCUGAACUUAAGCAUAUCAAA